GGGCCCGCACAAGCGGUGGAGCAUGUGGUUUAAUUCGAUGCAACGCGAAGAACCUUACCAGGGCUUGACAUACUACAAAUCCUUUUGAAAAAGAGGAGUGCCUUCGGGAAUGUAGAUACAGGUGGUGCAUGGCUGUCGUCAGCUCGUGUCGUGAGAUGUUGGGUUAAGUCCCGCAACGAGCGCAACCCUUAUUUUUUAGUUACCAAUUCGUUGGGUUCUCUAGAAAGACUGCCGGUGACAAACCGGAGGAAGGUGAGGAUGACGUCAAGUCAUCAUGGCCCUUACGGCCUGGGCUACACACGUGCUACAAUGGCUAGGACAGACGGCCGCAAACCCGCGAGGGGGAGCCAAUCCGACAAACCUAGUCGUAGUCCGGAUCGGAGUCUGCAACUCGACUCCGUGAAGUCGGAAUUGCUAGUAAUCG
rnacentral:rRNA from 1 species